rnacentral:rRNA from 1 species
AGUGAACGCUGGCGGUAGGCCUAACACAUGCAAGUCGAACGGCAGCACAGUAAGAGCUUGCUCUUACGGGUGGCGAGUGGCGGACGGGUGAGGAAUACAUCGGAAUCUACUUUUUCGUGGGGGAUAACGUAGGGAAACUUACGCUAAUACCGCAUACGACCUACGGGUGAAAGCAGGGGAUCUUCGGACCUUGCGCGAUUGAACGAGCCGAUGUCGGAUUAGCUAGUUGGCGGGGUAAAGGCCCACCAAGGCGACGAUCCGUAGCUGGUCUGAGAGGAUGAUCAGCCACACUGGAACUGAGACACGGUCCAGACUCCUACGGGAGGCAGCAGUGGGGAAUAUUGGACAAUGGGCGCAAGCCUGAUCCAGCCAUACCGCGUGGGUGAAGAAGGCCUUCGGGUUGUAAAGCCCUUUUGUUGGGAAAGAAAAGCAGCAGGUUAAUACCCCGCUGUUCUGACGGUACCCAAAGAACAAGCACCGGCUAACUUCGUG